GCUUCUGCAAGGAGACAUGUCUGAAGGCUAACUGGGAAACCAUGAAUGCCAGCUAGCAAAGUUCAAAAGUGGUAGCAUUCAGGACCGAAUGGGCCAUUGCAGUGGAGCUAUCGAGACUGUGGGACCUGUGAAGGUCAUAAAUGCAAGGACUGGUUGUAAAGUUACUUUUUCAUCACUGUUUUAACUGCCAACAGUCACUAAAUGAGGGGUCACUAAACAAAGGCUACCUGUACUUGGAAGAUUUAAAAAAGACCUGCAAAACGUAUGCAGCUAUUUCUUGCAUUACCUGAGAAACACUUUCUUCAUUUUUGUUUAUCAUUCAGAGCUAAAGGAAGGGAUGACUUGGGAUACUUCUUUCUUUUUAAACCUCUGUAAAGAAAUUUUAAAAAGUUGAAAAGAAAAAGAGGUCUGCCCAAUCUAUUUUAUUGGAAUAGUCUGUCUGUGGAAAUUAGAAUAUUCAAAGUGGUUCCUGGCUGUGAGAAAUCCAGAGCGCCAUGGAUCUUAUUACUGGAAGGCUAACAAAUUAAAAAUUGUGGCAUGCAAACCAGCCUUCAUAACGGUCACAAAAUUACCCGGCAACACAUUGAUUUGGAUCAUUCUGUUUAUUUCAAACUUUCAUUAUGAAUUGGAGAAGGAGGAAGAGGGAAAAAAGUUGACAUUUGUGAAUUCCAGGGGAAAUUUCAAUCGCCCAUCACCUUAUAUGAACUUUUAACAUACGUAAAAUGAAGCGCAAGGGACACGACCCUUAAACUUUAAAGAUUGCUGGUGCGUGACAUGAUUGAGAAGUACUUUCAACCUGAAAACAGUUUCACUUCCUGCAUGUGGCCACAAAGAAGCUACGUAAUAAAGUUCAUAUCA